rnacentral:rRNA from 1 species
CUCCGCCGGCGACCGGCGCACGGGUGAGUAACACGUAUGAAACCUGCCCGUAGCAGGGGGAUAAGCGGAAGAAAUUCCGUCUAAUACCGCGUAACAACGUUGGGAGGCAUCUCCCGAUGUUUAAAGAUUUAUCGGCUGCGGAUGGCCAUGCGGCGCAUUAGCUAGUCGGCGGGGUAACAGCCCACCGAGGCGACGAUGCGUAGGGGUUCUGAGAGGAAGGUCCCCCACACUGGUACUGAGACACGGACCAGACUCCUACGGAAGGCAGCAG